GAGGGUGUAGCUCAGUGGUAGAGUGCCUGCUUAGCAUGCGCAAGGUCCUGGGUUCAAUCCUCAGUACCUCCA
rnacentral:tRNA from 1 species